rnacentral:rRNA from 1 species
AACGAACGCUGGCGGCAGGCUUAACACAUGCAAGUCGAGCGCCCCGCAAGGGGAGCGGCAGACGGGUGGGUAACGCGUGGGAAUCUACCCAUCUCUACGGAAUAACGCAUGGAAACGUGUGCUAAUACCGUAUACGUCCUUCGGGAGAAAGAUUUAUCGGAGAUGGAUGAGCCCGCGUUGGAUUAGCUAGUUGGUGGGGUAAAGGCCUACCAAGGCGACGAUCCAUAGCUGGUCUGAGAGGAUGAUCAGCCACACUGGGACUGAGACACGGCCCAGACUCCGACGGGAGGCAGCAGUGGGGAAUAUUGGACAAUGGGCGCAAGCCUGAUCCAGCCAUGCCGCGUGAGUGAUGAAGGCCCUAGGGUUGUAAAGCUCUUUCACCGGUGAAGAUAAUGACGGUAACCGGAGAAGAAGCCCGGCUAACUUCGUGCCAGCCGCCGCCGUAUAC